rnacentral:rRNA from 1 species
AGGUUCGGAAUAACGGCUGGAAACGGCCGCUAAUACCGGAUGUGCCCUGAGGGGCAAAGGCUUGCCGCCUUGGGAGGGGCCCGCGUCCGAUUAGCUAGUUGGUGGGGUAAUGGCCUACCAAGGCGACGAUCGGUAGCUGGUCUGAGAGGAUGAUCAGCCACACUGGGACUGAGACACGGCCCAGACUCCUACGGGAGGCAGCAGUGGGGAAUAUUGGACAAUGGGCGCAAGCCUGAUCCAGCAAUGCC